UACGUAGGGUGCGAGCGUUAAUCGGAAUUACUGGGCGUAAAGCGUGCGUAGGCGGUUCUCCAAGUCCGUUGUGAAAGCCCCGGGCUCAACCUGGGAACGGCAGUGGAAACUAGGGGACUGGAAUCUGGCAGAGGGGGGUGGAAUGCCGCGUGUAGCAGUGAAAUGCGUAGAGAUGCGGCGGAACACCGAUGGCGAAGGCAGCCCCCUGGGCUGAGAUUGACGCUCAGGCGCGAAAGCGUGGGGAGCAAACAGG
rnacentral:rRNA from 1 species